CAGGCUGAAACUACGCCUGCAUGAAGCUGGAAUUGCUAGUAAUCAUAGGUCAGCAUACUAUGGUGAAUACGUUCCCGGGCCUUGUACACACCGCCCGUCACACCAUGAGAGUUGAGAAUACCCGAAGUCCAUGUCAAAGUGGCCGAAGGUAGGCUUGAUGAUUGGGGUGAAGUCGUAACAAGGUAUC
rnacentral:rRNA from 1 species